AUUGAACGCUGGCGGCAUGCCUUACACGUGCAAGUCGAACGGUAACAGGUCUUCGGAUGCUGACGAGUGGCGAACGGGUGAGUAAUACAUCGGAACGUGCCCAGUAGUGGGGGAUAACUACUCGAAAGAGUGGCUAAUACAGCAUGAGAUCUACGGAUGAAAGCAGGGGAUCGCAAGACCUUGUGCUACUAGAGCGGCCGAUGGCAGAUUAGGUAGUUGGUGGGCUAAAAGCUUACCAAGCCGACGAUCUGUAGCUGGUCUGAGAGGACGAUCAGCCACGCUGCGACUGAGACACGGGCCAGACUCCUACGGGAGGCAGCAGUGGGGAAUUUUGGACAAUGGGCGAAAGCCUGAUCCAGCAAUGCCGCGUGCAGGAUGAAGGCCUUCGGGUUGUAAACUGCUUUUGUACGGAACGAAAAGCCCUGGGUUAAUACCCUGGGGUCAUGACGGUACCGUAAGAAUAAGCACCGGCUAACUACGUGCCAGCCGCCGCCGUAA
rnacentral:rRNA from 1 species